UUUUAGCCCCGAACGUAGCGGCAUCCCUGUAGCACGGUGAAAGGAUAAGGUGUAUUACGGAAAAAACC
rnacentral:sRNA from 1 species